rnacentral:misc_RNA from 1 species
UACAGAGGGUGCGAGCGUUAAUCGGAUUUACUGGGCGUAAAGCGUGCGUAGGCGGCUUUUUAAGUCGGAUGUGAAAUCCCCGAGCUUAACUUGGGAAUUGCAUUCGAUACUGGGGAGCUAGAGUAUGUGUGAGGAGGGUAGAAUUCCAGGUGUAGCGGUGAAAUGCGUAGAGAUCUGAAGGAAUACCGAUGGCGAAGGCAGACAUCUGGUCUAAUACUGACGCUGAGGUACGAAAGCAUAGGGAGCAAACAGG